rnacentral:piRNA from 1 species
UGGAAANCUUGAUUGCAGAGGCGAAAAGA